rnacentral:misc_RNA from 1 species
UUUCCGUAGGUGAACCUGCGGAAGGAUCAUUACUGAAGAAAUGGUAGAGUUGAGCUGGCCCCUAUUAGGGGCAUGUGCUUGCCCUAUCGCUUUUUCUACUCUCCACUGUGCACCUCUUGUAGGCUAUGAUAUCUCUCAGCUCGAAAGGGUUGGAUUUUAGGGGGCUCGCAUUCACUUGCUUGACCUCGACUUCGUAGCCUAUGUCUAUAUACACUAUAUUGAAGUCUAUGAAUGUGUAUUGUUGGUCUCUGACCGAUAAAACUAUAUACAACUUUCAGCAACGGAUCUCUUGGCUCUCGCAUCGAUGAAGAACGCAGC